AACGAACGCUGGCGGCAGGCCUAACACAUGUAAGUCGAGCGCUGUAGCAAUACAGAGCGGCGCACGGGUGAGUAACACGUGGGAACGUGCCCUUUGGUUCGGAAUAACUCAGGGAAACUUGAGCUAAUACCGGAUGAGCCCUAACGGGGAAAGAUUUAUCGCCGAAGGAGCGGCCCGCGUCGGAUUAGCUAGUUGGUGGGGUAAUAGCCUACCAAGGCAACGAUCCGUAGCUGGUUUGAGAGAACGACCAGCCACACUGGGACUGAGACACGGCCCAGACUCCUACGGGAGGCAGCAGUGGGGAAUCUUGGACAAUGGGGGAAACCCUGAUCCAGCCAUGCCGCGUGAGUGAUGAAGGCCCUAGGGUUGUAAAACUCUUUCGGCGGGGACGAUAAUGACGGUACCCGCAGAAGAAGCUCCGGCUAACUUCGUGCCAGCCGCCGCGGUAAAAC
rnacentral:rRNA from 1 species